GUGCCAGCCGCCGCGGUAAUACGAAAGGGGCUAGCGUUGUUCGGAAUUACUGGGCGUAAAGCGCGCGUAGGCGGCCUUGCAAGUUGGGGGUGAAAUCCCGGAGCUCAACUCCGGAACUGCCUUCAAAACUGCAAAGCUAGAGGAUGCGAGAGGUGAGCGGAAUUCCGAGUGUAGAGGUGAAAUUCGUAGAUAUUCGGAAGAACACCAGUGGCGAAGGCGGCUCACUGGCGCAUUUCUGACGCUGAGGCGCGAAAGCGUGGGGAGCAAACAGGAUUAGAUACCCUGGUAGUCCACGCCGUAAACGAUGAGGGCUAGUUGUCGGGCGGCUUGCCGUUCGGUGACGCAGCUAACGCAUUAAGCCCUCCGCCUGGGGAGUACGGUCGCAAGAUUAAAACUCAAAGGAAUUGGCGGGG
rnacentral:rRNA from 1 species